CCUACGAGGUGCUGCAGUGAGGAAUAUUGGUCAAUGGGCGCUAGCCUGAACCAGCCAAGUAGCGUGAAGGAUGACUGCCCUAUGGGUUGUAAACUUCUUUUAUAUGGGAAUAAAGUGCAGUAUGCAUACUGCCUUGUAUGUACCGUAUGAAUAAGGAUCGGCUAACUCCGUGCCAGCAGCCGCGGUAAUACGGAGGUGCCGAGCGUUAUCCGGAUUUAUUGGGUUUAAAGGGAGUGUAGGCGGGUUGAUAAGUCAGUUGUGAAAGUUUGCGGCUCAACCGUAAAAUUGCAGUUGAUACUGGCAUCCUUGAGUACAGGAGAGGUAGGCGGAAUUCGUGGUGUAGCGGUGAAAUGCUUAGAUAUCACGAAGAACACCGAUUGCGAAGGCAGCCUGCUGGACUGUAACUGACGCUGAUGCUCGAAAGUGUGGGUAUCAAACAGGAUUAGAUACCCUAGUAGUC
rnacentral:rRNA from 1 species